GCGCUCGUAGCUCAGUUGGCAGAGCAGCGGUGGAACGUUGAUCCACAGUCCCGGGUUCAAGUCCCGGCGGUCUCU